rnacentral:rRNA from 1 species
GACGAACGCUGGCGGCGUGCCUAAUACAUGCAAGUCGAACGCAGUGGGGACGGGUGAGUAACACGUGGGUAACCUCCCAUCAGAGGGGAUAACACUUGGAAACAGGUGCUAAACCGAUACUGAUGGAUGGACCCGCGGUGCAUUAGCGAGUUGGUGAGGUAACGGCUCACCAAGGCAACGAUUAAUAGCCUACCUGCGAGGGUGUUCGGCCACCCUGGGACUGACACGCGGCCCAGACUCCUACGGGAGUCAGCAUUAGUGAGUCUUCUGCAAUGGACGAAAGUCUGACCGCGCAACGCCGCGUGAGUUAAGAAGGUUUUCGGAUCGUAACACUCUGUUGUUAGAGAAGCGGUAUCUAACCAGAAAGCCACGGCGGACUACGUUCCAGCAGCCGCGGUAAUUC